rnacentral:sRNA from 1 species
CUUUUUUUGUUGUUUU